UGAGGAAUAUUGGGCAAUGCCCGCAAGGGUGACCCAGCAACGCCGCGUGGAGGAUGAAUGUCGUAAGAUUGUAAACUCCUGUUAGAGGGGAAGAAUAGUACCGGUUGGACCGGUAUAUGACUGUACCCUCAGAGAAAGCCCCGGCUAACUACGUGCCAGCAGCCGCGGUAAUACGUAGGGGGCAAGCGUUGUCCGGAUUUACUGGGUGUAAAGGGCGCGCAGGCGGGAUAAAAAGUCAGUGGUGAAAUCCUACAGCUUAACUGUAGAACUGCCUUUGAUACUUUUAUUCUUGAGUUCGGGAGAGAGAGACGGAAUUCCAGGUGUAGUGGUGAAAUACGUAGAUAUCUGGAAGAACACCAGUUGCGAAGGCGGUCUCUUGGUCCGACACUGACGCUGAGGCGCGAAAGCGUGGGGAGCAAACA
rnacentral:rRNA from 1 species